CCAUCCGUGUUUUCAGCGUCCAACCCGGCAGCUGGCUGGGCCGUGCAAGGUUGGAAGCAAAGCAUGCUGCGAGGACUUCCUAUCCCGCCCUGCCAAAACUGCUGCUUAUUGAAGUAAAAUGCCGCACGUGCAUAAAUGGGCCGUUCUGCGGAUUCAAUCCAUGGCCGAUUAGUUGUUUGAAAUAAUAUGCCCCUCCAACCCCUCCAAUGCACAUGUCAUUAUGCAGGUUUUCAGCCGACAGGGAGGGGAGGGGAGGGGUUCGCCAUUGAGUAUUUUUCCUUUCCAGCAAUGUGGGUGAUUAAGGUAGGAUUUCGAUGAUUGUUAUGGGAAGAUGAAACCCCCCCCCCCCAGAUCUCUUUUUUCUUUUUCUCUUUUGGCCUUUAUUUUUCCAAAAAAAAAAAAAAAAUCCUUGUUGCGGGUUUGCCUGAUUUCCACCAGAAGAGAAAACAAGCAAUGUCUAAGCAUUUGAGGGACCCACUGAUGAAAGGCUGUGCAUCCAUCAUUCAACUUCUUUGUGGGGGGAUUGGUUGUUGAUGGCUAGUGGUUGUUUCAGUUACUGUAACGAGGCUACAGUGAUAGACUCGUUAGGUGCAGAGCCUUCGGUUAAGGAACCAAUUCUUUGUCACCGGAGUUAAAUUGUCUUUGGGCCUAUCCAGUCAAAGUUUGGCUCUCCCACUCGGCCUUGCUAGCACUGGUUUGGAAGUUAAGGAGCUGAGGACGCAGCGAACACCACGGGGAGACUUAAAGCAUAGCGGUUUCAUAUCAAUGCGGCAGUCUGAGAAGAUCAUUGCAGGGCUUCGUCCAAGCGUUUUAUAUUACUUGGCCCGCCUCGCUCACUUCUAAAGUUGCUUCUGUCGGCUUAACACUGAUACUAUUUUGGUACCUGAUUUCCAGAGAAAUAGUUUCCCAUUUCCCCGCCAAGAUCGCACCUUUACCGCCAGAGUAGUUCUUACCGCCAUUAAAACCCCUACUAUCGGCCACUAUGGUCCAUCUCGCAGCAAUUCGAAAGGAAUCGGCAGCCUUGCCGAUUCGACCAAUCCAGCGUAUCGAAACUAUUCCGCUCGAGGAGCCUCAGGAACAUGAUUUUUAUUCCAGCGUCUAUGGCUCUCGGUUCGCGGCAGAGGACUUGCCUACGUUGGAGAUGCCAGAGAAAGAGAUGCCCAAGGAGGUGGCAUAUAGAAUGAUCAGGGACGAAUUGAGUUUGGAUGGGAAUCCGAUGUUGAACUUGGCAAGCUUCGUUACCACCUACAUGGAGGAAGAGGCGGAGAAGCUCAUGACCGAAUCGUUCAGCAAAAACUUCAUCGAUUAUGAGGAAUAUCCACAGUCUGCAGAGAUCCAGAACCGCUGCGUGAAUAUGAUCGCCCGCAUGUUCAAUGCUCCUGGAGAGGAUUCUCCAGAACAUGCGAUGGGGACAUCAUGUAUCGGUUCUUCGGAGGCUAUAAUGCUAGGCACACUUGCAAUGAAAAAGCGCUGGCAAAACAAGCGAAAAGCAGAGGGAAAGGAUUACUCACGCCCCAAUAUCGUCAUGAGCAGCGCCGUUCAGGUCUGUUGGGAAAAGGCAGCUAGAUAUUUCGAAGUUGAGGAGAAAUUUGUCUAUUGCACGACCGAAAGAUACGUCAUCGACCCGGAGGAAGCUGUAAACCUCGUGGAUGAAAAUACCAUUGGCAUUUGUGCAAUUUUAGGUACUACUUACACCGGCCAGUAUGAGGAUGUCCAAGCAAUCAAUGAUCUUCUUGUCGAACGUGGCAUCGAUUGCCCCAUCCACGUUGAUGCUGCCAGCGGUGGAUUUGUUGCUCCCUUUGUAAACCCGAACUUGGAAUGGGAUUUCAGACUCUCUAUUAAUGUCUCCGGACACAAGUACGGCCUUGUUUACCCUGGUGUUGGAUGGGUGGUCUGGCGUUCUCCGGAAUAUCUCCCUAAGGAGCUCGUUUUCAACAUCAACUACCUCGGCGCUGAUCAAGCUAGCUUCACCCUUAAUUUCUCCAAAGGUGCUUCGCAAGUCAUUGGUCAAUAUUACCAAAUGAUCCGCUUGGGAAAACGAGGCUACCGCUCCAUAAUGAUCAACCUUACACGCACCGCUGAUUAUCUCGGAGCUGCCCUGAAGGAACUGGGGUUCAUUCUCAUGAGCGAUGGUCGCGGGCAUGGCUUGCCCCUUGUUGCCUUCCGCCUUUCAUCCAAGCAGGGCUUUGAGUUCGAUGAGUUUGCGCUUGCACAUCAGCUUCGGGAACGUGGCUGGGUGGUACCUGCGUAUACUAUGGCGCCACAUAGCGAGCAGUUGAAACUCAUGCGAGUUGUUGUUCGAGAGGAUUUCAGUAGAAGCCGCUGCGACCUGUUAGUCGCGGAUAUUAAGCUUGCGUUGACACACCUGAGCGAGAUGGAUCGGAAGGCCAUGGACAAAUAUAAGCUCCAUGUGCGCCAACACGUUUCCAAUGUCGGCAAAGCCACCCAUAAUCCCCCGAUUUACAAGGAUGAUGAUCACUCGCUGCAAGGAAAGACCGGGAAAACUCACGCCAUCUGCUAAAUCAAAAAUUUGACGAUGGCUUCGCGAUGCCCAGCAGCAUGGGCUUUUGCAUGCUUGAAACACCGUACACGUCGUUCGUUCUUUUUCCACUUAGGAGUUAAUUGCCCCUGGUUAUCCCCAGGGUCCGAACAACCCCAUGCGUAGAUAAGUAUCGUAUCUUGGAUACAAGGACUGGUUAGAGUGUAGGGCUGCUCUUUAUUUCGCUAAAGCAAGGAUAUGAGAGAGAGAGGUUGAAUCUGGCGGGGGAGGUGUGAUGCAAGGAUAUCUCCCUAGCCAUAUAUGCAGACGUGUCUCCCACACCUGGCGGAAACCAAUCUUUCUUUUUUGCGGCUGGGAUGGGUUGCAGUCAGCAUUCUAGUUUCUCAAACCUGCGUCCCUAGCUCCAUAGACUUGACAACCACACUUGAUCUGGAUGUUCACUUUGAACCAUAUUCUGUCCAUCUCUUCGCCUUGUUUCGUCUCUUGUUAUCCACUUCACAAUGUACAGGGUGACACUGUAGACGGCGCCGUUUCAUUAACGAUAGCCGACACUGCCCUUAAUCGUUUCACACCCGAUCUGCUUUAAAUUUAGCACUGGACAAUAGAAAUGCAAGCGAUUGGAAAAACGAUAUGAUCGAGAGUAUUGCUGGUGGGGCAUCGUCAGACUGGUUCGCUUUUGACACUCCCGGCGAAGUGCACUAUCUCUGGCUAAAUAACGUA
rnacentral:sRNA from 2 species